GCAAUGUGGCCCCGCAUCGGUCCCGCGCGAGCGGGUGAGAAAGGGAACGCCGUGCGCCACGGCCAUCGCUCGAUGGCCCGGCAAGUCGGCGGCUGCCCCCGCAACUGUCAGCGGCGAGCCGAAACCCCGGGCCCUCGGCAAAGGGCGGCCACUGGAUCGCGAGAUCCGGGAAGGCGGGGCGGAGGCGGUGACCCGCGAGCCAGGAGACCUGCCGGUGCGUCCGCAACGCA
rnacentral:ncRNA from 2 species